rnacentral:snRNA from 1 species
AUACCUUUCUCGGCCUUUUGGCUAAGAUCAAGUGUAGUAUCUGUUCUUAUCAGUUUAAUAUCUGAUAUGUGGGCCAUCGGUCUACACGAUAUUAACUCAAUAGACUAUUAAGGUAGCUUGCUAUCUGGGCUCUCGCGCGUCGCCUAUGCGUUGCACUACAGCAUGGGCCUGGCGCACCCCAC